rnacentral:rRNA from 1 species
GACGGAGGAUGCAAGUGUUAUCCGGAAUCACUGGGCGUAAAGCGUCUGUAGGUGGUUUAGUAAGUCAACUGUUAAAUCUUGAGGCUUAACCUCAAAAUCGCAGUCGAAACUAUUAGACUCGAGUAUAGUAGGGGUAAAGGGAAUUUCCAGUGGAGCGGUGAAAUGCGUAGAGAUUGGAAAGAACACCGAUGGCGAAAGCACUUUACUGGGCUAUUACUGACACUCAGAGACGAAAGCUAGGGUAGCAAAUGGG